GAUGAAGAACGUAGCGAAAUGCGAUAAGUAGUGUGAAUUGCAGAAUUCAGUGAAUCAUCGAAUCUUUGAACGCACAUUGCGCCCCUUGGUAUUCCAUGGGGCAUGCCUGUUCGAGCGUCAUUUGUACCUUCAAGCUCUGCUUGGUGUUGGGUGUUUGUCCUUGCUCUAGUGGCGGGACUCGCCUUAAAGUAAUUGGCAGCCAGUGUUUUGAUUUUGAAGCGCAGCACAAGUCGCGAUUCAAGUCUAUACGCUAGUUUCCACAAGUCUUUUAUCACUUUUGACCUCGGAUCAGGUAGGGAUACCCGCUGAACUUAAGCAUAUCAAUAAGCGGAGGA
rnacentral:misc_RNA from 1 species